CUACCUGGACCCGUGACUUGUGGGCUUCCCUUUGUCAUCCUUUGCCUAGGCCUCUGAGUGGGGCAAGGACAGCAAAGGGGGGCUCAGUAGUCACCUCUACUGCA
rnacentral:pre_miRNA from 1 species